GAGCAACUACAUCAGUGAUUAAAAGCCCAUGUCUGUUGAGCUUUUUUAUUUUGCAUCAGACUCUUAAUAGAGUUUUACAUAUGAAAAUGUUAACUGAUUUACUCUUCAUGUGACCUUUGGAGGUAGAUACUAUGGUCAUUAUCCCUGUUUCACAGAUGAGGAAACUGAGGCUUCCCUGGUGGCUCAGACGGUAAAGCGUCUGCCUGCAGUGUGGGAGACCCCGGUUUGACCCCUGGGUUGGGAAGAUCCCCUGGGAGGAAAUGGCAACCCACUCCAGUACUCUUGCCUGGAAAAUUCCGUGGACUAAGGAGCCUGGUCGCAAAGAGUCGGACACGACUGAGUGACUUCACUUCAACUGAGGCUGGAGUGCCUGGUGCCAGAAGAGUAGCAGGCCCAGGAUUAAAGCCCAGAUGGACUGAUCCCUGGGCCCCUGCACUUGAACACCGCAGUGUUGCCAGGACCCUGGGCCAGGAAGUCAUUUAACAUUUCGGUGCCUCAAGUCUCCCCACGGGUGAACACCGAGCUGUUCUGAGAUGGCAAAUGAAAACACCCAGCACAGGACCUGGAAAGCGGCGGCGGCGUCGAGGGUUUUCAGUGAGGGCUAAUUCUGCUAAUUCCACCGCCCCCUGUCUAGCCCACGAGUCUCCGGAAAGAACCCUGAGGGGCCCCUUAGGACCGCCGGCAGCCUGGGGCGCACCCCUCCCCACACACACACACAGGGCCGAUGUGGAUUAGUUUUGAAAGAACGUCCUUACAAGAGACUGUUCUUGCCCAGCCAAGACGUGAGCUCUCUUUAAUCUACACGCCUGAUCACACGGCUGGACUCGGCCAAGCCCUCUUCGCGUCCACACAGCGGGGGCUGACCGGAGCCCCUCAGCCUAGCCCCAGCGCGGGAGGCCCGCGAGAGCGGCGUGCGCAUGCGUCAGGCCCAACCAUCGCCUCAGGUGCUGCCUCACGGCUGCUGGGGGGCGGGGACGGUAAGCGGCUCCCCGAGGGAGGCGGAGCCCAGCCAGAGCUUUCCCACCGCCUUGGGGCAGGUGGGCGAGCACGUGGGGCGGGGGCGCCAAGGUGACUGUGGCUUAGGCAUGGGUUUGUUUUUUUUUUAAUUAUUUACCUUCUCGUUUUAUUUCUUUUCGGCCGCACUGAGUCUUCGUUGUUCUGCGGCCUUUGUCUCGUUACUGCGAGUGGGGCCCGCGCUCUAGUCGCGCUGCAGGGAGGUCCGUGCCUCCCCUUGUUGUGGGGCGGGAUCUCUGUGAUUGCAGCUCGCGGGACUCAGCGGCCCCGGACACGUGGGAGCUCCGGACCAGGAAUCGAACCUCUGUCCCCUGCAUCGGCAGGCUUCCUCGCAACCACUGGACCUGGGCAUGGGACUUAAUCUUUGAGGGCCACAGUUUUCUCCUCAGAAAAGGGGGCUUGAUAACAGAAAUGCAGUUGAAACUCCAUGUAGGUGAUGCCUCAUGGGCAUAUCAUGGCCGCUCAUUGAAUGGUAGCUAUUAGCAGUAGUGGGUCUAUCCUUUCAAAUAAUAUGCAAUAAAUAGGAGGAGUGGCUCUAGCCAUUAAUGAGUUUAAUGCUGUGAUAUCUUGAGCUACUGCAAAUCCAGUAUAUAAUAUCUGAUAAACAGUAAGUUAUAUCAGUAAAUUUCCAAAUCCAGCAAUAAUAUUGAAUAAAAUAUCCAUAACUAAGAAUUGGUGUAUUCAUUCAAAUAAUAUCUAAUAAAUAAGUAGGGAUAAUAAUUAUAUCCACUAAAAUAAUUUUAAUACCAUUAUCAUGGGCUAUUGUGAAUCCAGUAGCCAGUAAAUAAUACCCACUGAAAUAAAGAGUAGCAAUGAUAUUCAUUAAAGCAAUUUUUAGAGUUUAUUUUAUUUUUGGCUGUGCUAGCCUAGGGCUUCGGAGAAGGCAAUGGCACCCCACUCCAGUACUCUUGCCUGGAAAAUCCCAUGGAUGGAGGAGCCUGGUAGGCUGCAGUCCAUGGGGUCGCUAAGAGUCGGAUACGACCGAGCGACUUCACUUUCACUUUCAUGCAUUGGAGAAGGAAAUGGCAACCCACUCCAGUGUUCUUGCCUGGAGAAUCCUAGGGACGGCGGAGCCUGGUGG
ensembl:lncRNA